ACUUUCAUCGUUAAAACCAGACAAACAUGACUACUCCUUCCACCUCUCUGUAAACGCCAACUAGGACUCAAACCACCGGAUAAUUGCAAAAUCCGGUGGCCUUCACCUUUCCCCUCAUUGCCCUCUCUAUCACCCACGUUUUCCAUCACUAUCACUUCCUUUCUGUCACUUCUUGUUGAGGUAGAACAAAGCCCAAAGCUCUGCCAUUUAUGAGAAGUGAGGAGGAUUCAAGAACCUUAAGAUUUAGAGAUCAUUAUCCCUUCAAACCGAAGGGUUCAAGCCUUAUAACCUCUAACCGUCAUUUUUUCUGUUCACAUCAACUUGAAAAGGGUAAAUUCAACCCUUUAUUUUUUUUAUUUGCAUCACCAUCUUUUGCAAAUUUUAGAUUUUCAAGAAUUCAAAUUUUAAUUCUUGAGGCUUGAGAGCUAUUGCAACGCCUCUCAAGUGCAGCUAUAGAAGGAGCCCCUUUGGACUCCUAAUUGAUGGACAAAGGAUCACUAAGAGCCAUUAGCAAAUUAGCAAAUUCGUACUACUGUUUCCUCUUGUUUUUUUUGCUACUUUCUGAAAUCGAAGUUCAAAUUUGAGUUCGAAUCUCCGGCGAGGAAGUCUUAGUUUGCUGCCCCAAAAAAAGGUUCGGACGCUCAGUUCCCGGAUCGCGCAUAGCUUUUCCAGACUAUCAGCCAUAGCAGUGGUGAGUCCUCAUAUUCUAAGGACAUGAUUUAUUUAGCUCAGAUUACUUUAUCAGCUUCAGUCAUUUCCAUUCAGUCGAGUUAGUUCGGUGUUUGUCCCAUUAGCUCCUUAGUCGGUCAAUAAAGGCUUUUCAGACUAUUUCAGACAAUUAGUUAGUUUCUUAGAUUUCAUUUGUCAUUGUCACAUGUUUUAUCAGUAUUAUCAGUUAUGCCUUAUAGGUUGUAUCAGAUUUAUGACUUAAAACCUUAUGACAUUCUGUAGUUAAAUUCCGCAUAUGUUAUGUCAUUAUCAGUUUUACUCGGUGCUCACAGCAGGUACCAGCUCAUGGGUUAGCUUGUGGUUCCUCGGGACUGUAAGCACCGUGUGACGCCCAGGGUGUACUCUCGGGGCAUUACAGUAAGUCACUUCAAGGAUCUUAGACUAAAAUUAUUUUUGUGCCAAUAAAUAGUAAGCAUUGACUUGGUAACUUUAGGUCUGCAUAAUUAUGUAGUGCUUUUUUUGGUUAAAUCAUGUAAACAAUCCUAUGCUACUUUCCUUUUAUUCCUUUAUUUGGCUUUGCAGAUUGUCCUAAUCAAGUGAGUCUAGAUUUAUAUAAAUAAUUGAAUAUAGAGGGUGUUUUUUCUGAAUUUCGAAAGUCCAAAACCGUUGCGAUGUUUGGAAAGAUGAGCAGUAGAUUGGAUAAACUAUUAGCUUCCCAUUAGAGCUAUUUCCAUUUUUCUUGUGUUGGACUUUUUGAAUAUGGAGAAAUAACUAAUUUGUCCCUCCCCUGUUUGAUCUCAUUAACUGAUUGUGGUAUAGAAAUAUGGGUUAAGUUAUAAUUUGGAAAAUGUGCUAGUAGUAACGUUAGUUGAAUUACGCCAGUAGUAAUAUUACUUUGCUUCUGUGGAUCAUCUAAGUUAAAUAUGGUAUCAUACUUGGAUUCAAACACUAUGUGUAUGUCACUGGUUCUAAUUUCUUUUUCUCUUCUUUUUUUCACAUGUACUUGGGAGCAAAAAAUGAGAAUAUUCCUACAAGUUCAAGGUGCAAGAAGUCUCACUCCGAGACUUACUAAUGCCACUAGACUUCAAUAACAUGCAUUGCCUCCCUCGCUCUGUGCCUUUUGCUUCUUCAAACACAUCCGAAAGAAAUGGCAAAGACAAGCUGAAAUAUACAAAAAUACUACUUUAUUCCUUUAGUUGUUAAUAUGUUGUGUUUGUUUUCAUAUGUUGCUUGUUUUCUGGUAUAUUUGUGGAUUGACACCUUUUUUUUCUUCGUUUUCUAUUUGUGGGGGUUGAACUUUUUGUACAUUAACUCAGUAGUAUUUUGGUCGAGUGGGAACUUUCACUUGCUCAAUCUUUUCUUUUAGGCAAUAACUCCUAAUUAUAUCUUCUGCUUCUGCUU